rnacentral:rRNA from 1 species
UACGUAGGGUGCAAGCGUUGUCCGGAAUUAUUGGGCGUAAAGAGCUCGUAGGCGGUUUGUCGCGUCGAAUGUGAAAACCCGGGGCUCAACCCCGGGCCUGCAUUCGAUACGGGCAGACUAGAGUUCGGUAGGGGAGUCUGGAAUUCCUGGUGUAGCGGUGAAAUGCGCAGAUAUCAGGAGGAACACCGGUGGCGAAGGAGGGACUCUGGGCUGAUACUGACGCUGAGGAGCGAAAGCGUGGGGAGCAAACAGG